AUUUCUCUUGGCAAUGGAUAACUUGGCUCUCGUAUUGAUGAAAAACAUAGUGAAAUACAAUACUUGGUGUGAAUUGCAGAAUCUCGUGAACUAUUAACUCUUUGAACACAAGUUGCGCCUGAAGCCAUUAGGCCGAGGGCACGUCUGCCUGGACAUCAUGCAUCACGUCACCCCCUUGCAUCGCACCUUAAUCAUGGGGUGCGCUUCCAUCACAGGGCGGAUACUGGCCUCCCGUUAACCUCAAGCUCGCGGCUGGCCUAAAUGCGAGUCCAUGUCAAUGAACGUGGCAAGUGGUGGUUGUAACUCAAUUCUCUUUGCUGUCGCGGCUACAGCCUAUCGUCCAUUUAGACUUCGGGACCCUACCGUUCUUAGGCUCUCUAACUGCGACCCCAGUUUAGGCGGGAUCACCCAUUGAGUUUAAGCAUAUCAAUAAGUGGAGGAAAAGAAACUUACAAGGAUUCCCUUAGUAACGGCGAGCGAACCAGGAACAACCCAUCCUUAGAAUUGGGUGGCUCCAUCUUCUGAAUUGCAGUCUUGAGAAGCGUCCUCAGUGGCGGACAGGACCCAAUUCCCCUGGAAGGAGACGUCAGAGAAGGUGAGAGACCCGUUGUUUCUGAACCCUGUCGCACCAUGAAGCGCUUUCUAUGAGUCGGGUUAUUUGGGAAUACAGCCUAAAUCGGGCAGUGAAUUCCAUCCAAGGCUAAAUAUAGGGGAGAGACCGAUAGCGAAGAAGUACCAUAACGGAAAGAUUAAAAGGACGUUGAAAAUAGAGUCAAAGAGUGCUUGAAAUUGUUGGAAGAAAAGUGGAUAGGGGCUGGUGAUGCGCCCUGAUCAGAUGUGGAAUAGCGACGAGCUGGUCGACCGAUCGACUCGGGGCGUGGACCAGCAGGGAUUUGGGGGCGGCCAAAUCCCAGGCUUUUAAUAUGCUUUUGGAAUUCCAUCUCCUUAAUUGUGGUAGGCAGCACAUUCCUCCGGUGUGCUUCGGUAUCUGCAUGCUUUGGAUGAUGGCCUACGGGCUCCCCAUUCGACCUGUCUUGAAAUACGGAUCAAAGAGUCUGAUAUUUGUGUGAGUUAAUGGGCGAGUAAACCCAUAAGGCAUAAUGAAGGAGAUUAGUGGCAUUCUCUUAUGGGGCUCACCGUCUAUUGACCUUGAUCUUCUAAGAAGGGUUUGAGUGUAAGCAUACCUAUCGGGACCUAAAACAUGGUGAACUAUGCCAAAGCGGGUCGAAGCCAGAGGAAAAUCUGGUGGAGACCCCCAGCUAUACUGGUGUAUUAAUGUUCGUCUGACUUGGGUAUAGGGGUAAAAUAGUAAUCGAACCGUCUAGUAGCUGGUUCCCUCUUAAGUGUUCCUCAAGAUAGCUGGAUCUCGUGUGUGAGUUCUAUCGGGUUAAGCAAUUGAUUAGAGGCCCCGGGUGCGCAACGCCCUUGACCUAUUCUCAAACUUUAAAUAGGCAGGACGGUGCAGCUGCUUUGUUGAGCCGUACCACGGAACCAAGAGUUUCAAGUGGGCCAUUUUUAGUAAGCAGAGGCGAUGCGGGAUGAACAAAAAGCUGGGUUACAGUGCCAAAAUAUGCGCUAACCUAUAUCCCACAAAGGGUGUUGCUCGAUUAAGACAGUAGAACGGUGGUCAUAGAACUCAAAAUCCGCUAAGGAGUAUGUAACAACUCACCUGCCGAAUAAACUAGCCCCAAAAAUGGAUGGCGCUUAAGCGCGUGACCUACACCCAUCUGUUGGGGCAAGUGUCAGGCCCCGAUGAGUAGGAGGGCAUGGCGGUCACUGCAAAACUUUGGGCAUGAGCUCUGGUGAAGAAGUCGUCGGUGGAAAUAUUGAUGGUAGUAGAAAAUAUUCAAAUGAGAACUUUGAAGGCUGAAGAGGGGAAAGGUUCCAUGUGAACAACACUUUCACUUGGGUUAGUCGAUCCUAAGGUUUGGGGGAACCCUGACAGAUAGCGCAUUUUGUGCAUACUCCUAAAGGGAGUCAGGUUAAAAUUUUUGAAUUAGGAUGUGGCGGUCGACAAAAACAUUAGGAAGUUUGGAGACGUCGGCGGGAGCCUCAGGAAGAGUUAUCUUUUCUAUUUAACAGCCUAGCCACUCUAAAAUUGGCUCAGCCGAAGGUAGGGUCCAACGGAUGGAAGAGCACCGCACGUCACGUGGUGUCCGAUGUGCUCCCGGUGGCUCAUGUAAAUCUAAAAGACCGAAUGUUGUACACACCCGGUCGUACUUAUAACCGCAUCAGGUUUCCAAAGUGAACAGCCUCUGGUCGAUUGAACAAUGUUGGCAAGGGAAUUCGGCAAAAUAGAUCCGUAACUUUGGGAAAAGGAUUAGCUCUGAGGGCUGUGCAAGGAUAUCCCAGUCCCGAUCCCGUUGGCUUUUGGUUAGACUGCUCGAGAUGCUCCCGUGGUGAGAGCGAGUCGUCGCGUGCCGGCUGGGGGACAAACUGGAAAGGUUUCCUUCGGGGGCCUUCCCCAUGCAUCGAACAACCAACUCAGAACUUUUGCUGACAAGGGGAGUCCGACUGUUUAAUUAAAACAAAGCAUUGUGAUGUUCCCAACAGAUGUUCACAUGAUGUGAUUUUUGCCAAGUGCUCUAAAUGUCAAAGUGAAAAAAUUCAACCAAGCACGGGUAAACGGAGGAAGCAACUAUGACUCUCUUAAGGUAUCCAAAUGCCUCGUCAUCUAAUUAGUUACAUGCAUAAAUGGAUUAACGAGACUCCCCCUGUCCCUGUCUACUAUCCAGUGAAACCACAGCCAAAGGAAUGGGCUUACCAGAGUCUGCGAGGAAAGAAGACCCUGUUAAGCUUGACUCUAGUUUGACUUUAUGAAAUAAAUUAAAAGGUGUAGUAUAAAUGUGAGUCUAAAGGAGAAAGUGAAAGACCACUAAUUUUAACAAUAUUUUACUUAUUUCGUGAAUUGGAAGUGGGGCACUGCCCCUCUUUUUGGACCCAAGGCUCAAUCUACGGGCCGAACCAGGUAGAAGACAUUGUUAGGUGGGGAGUUUGGCUGGGGAAGCACAUUUGUUAAAACAUAAUGCAGGUGUCUUAAGAUGAGCUCAACGAUAACAGAAAUCUUAUGUGGAACAAAAAGGUAAAAGCUAGUUUUAUUCUGAUUUUCAGUAUGAAUACAAACCGUAAAAACGUGGCCUAACUAUUCUUUAGACAUUUGGAAUUCGAAGCUAGAGGUGUCAAAAAAGUUACCACAGGGAUAACUAGUUUGUGGUAGCCAAGUGUUCAUAACGACAUUGCUCUUUGAUCCUUCGAUGUCGGCUCUUCUUAUCAUUGUGAAGAAGAAUUCACGAAGUGUUGAAUUGUUCACCGACUAAUAGGGAAUGUGAGCUGGGUUUAGACCAUAUGAGACAGGUUAGUUUUAUCCUACUGAUUAGCAUACCUACUUAACUUGGGUUUCCUCCUAAGCAGUGCUUAAUUUAGCAUCGCAGUAUGGCCCAAUUAACUUUUUCCUCCACCUAGAGGAUAUAAAUUUCACCUCCAACAUCAUAUCCUUUUUUUUUGCCUCGAUCAUAGGGAGGUGUUACAAAUAAUUAGGAAUCGAGUGAUGGAAUGUGCAUGAUAAACCACUCAGCCUUGAAGAGAGGUGUUUUUUAUGUUACUUUUCUUGUGCAAAAUUAAGAAUA
rnacentral:rRNA from 1 species